AGACCCUCCAGGGACAGGGCCCAGGAUUGAAGAGGGAAGCCCUGCCCCGCACGUGUUCAUCAGGAAGGACCCACAGACUGCUGCUCCUGGAGGCCUCUCAGGGUUUAUGGAUGUGUGUUUGUUCCAUAAACCCUCAGAGGGUCACCUGGAGACCUGCUAAAAUGCAGGUUCUUGGGCCACAUCCUAGACCUUCUGACCGACCCAGGGAGUGGGGCCCAGAAAGCUGCAUUUGACAGAUAUCCCCGUGUGAUCAUCAUGCACACAGGAGUGAGCGAACCAGUGUUCUCCCUGGGCAGAAGGGAAGCUUGUGUGCAGGACACCUCAUGCCUCCUUUCCCAUUCCCCUGCCAGGCUCUCCCUGCUGACAUUGUUUCGUGGGAGAGCUGUGAAUUCUGAAGAUUAGGUUGCUUCUCACCCCAAGCUCCAGAAGUCCAGGCUGAGCCAAACCAAGCUUCAAGUUGUGCCUGGACUUGGAGAACCAGGAGGUGAGGGGACUGACUGCUUGAAGAUCACAUGGAGGAGGAGUCUGAUCCAGGCCCAGUCUUGCUCUGUUGCUCAGGCUGGAGUACAGUGGCAUGAUCUCAGCUCACUGCAACCUCUGCCCGCCGGGUUCAAGCAAUUCUCAUGCAUCAGCCUCCCAAGAAGCUGGGACUGACUACAGGCAUGCACCACCACACCUAGCUAAUUUUUGUGUCUAAC
rnacentral:lncRNA from 1 species